AGUUUUCUAAAAAUUGGUAACCCUGAUUAUUUUCAAGGUUAGCUGAAGUUUGAUCCAUAUCUAGGUGUCGAUAAGGUUUUCUAAAAGCGUAAUAAAUACCACAUAAUUGUUCAUUAUGGAGAUGCUACUGAAAUCGGUAAUAAUAGUGGGUGCAGCGUGUGUUGCUGCGACGCUAGCUAUAAUGGAGUAUUGGGAAUGGAGGAAUGUACCGGAAGCCCACCCCGCGCACGGACAAAGGCAGCGUAGGAAUUGAAAAUAUGCAAUCCCUACCGAACUUGAGUACAUAAGUAAUAAAAAAUGUAAUAUUAAA